AUGGACGCCGGUCCUGUCCCGCAACGCGCGCCGCGCCGCCGCGCGCGCCCAUGCCUCCCUGCGCGCUCGCGGCGACCCCGAGGCCAACGCCCCUCCUUCAAUGCGGACGCUGCCCGCGCGGCCUUCUUAAGGCGUUUCAGGGGACUCUGCUUCCGGUGCCUCAGCUCCAAGCAUCGCCGCGUUGAUUGUAGAGAUCCCAUACGCUGCAUUGAGUGCAAGCUACCGGGCCACAUCGCCAAGGACUGCCCCCAAAUCCGGCGCGGCCGCACUGGUGGUCCGGCGCCCACUGCUAGCCGCGCUCCCGUCCGCGAGAGGCUCCGCUUUCCCACGCCCCCUCCGCCCGCGCCGGCCAUGGACCGCUGCCGCCAUACCGACCCCUCGCGCCGGCCAAGGGACGGCCACAAGGUGGUGAUCGAGUCGCCGGAGAUGGAGCACCAGAUGUUCCUCCUUCGUCGCCACGCCGUCCUCCUCAUCUCCACGGCUGAGCGGCACGCGGCGAGCCCCAUGUCCGUCGGCCACGCCUUCGACGCCGCUCUCCGCACUCCGGCGCACCUGCUGCGGGUGACCAGCCACGACCCGGAGGACUUCCUCGUCCAUUUCGAGCUGCCGGCGCACCGGGACAAUGCCGUCCGCUUGGGCUCCAUCAACGUCGACGGCAUCGCCUUCACCAUCAAGCCGUGGCACGAGGACAUCCACGCCGACCAUGAAGACUUCCUCCUCCACGUCCGCGUCGUCAUCGAGAAGAUGCCCAUGCACCUGUGGUCUGUCGACGGUGCGGCGGAGGUGCUCGGAAACAAAUGCAUCAUCGACCGGCUCGACAGCCGCACGCACGAGCGCGGCCACACACGGACCUUCGCGUGCUGGGUGUGGGCGUACGACGUCGCCUUCAUCCCCACCAAGCACACCAUCUGGCGCGCGGCUCGUGGUGCCGGCCGCGUCGAGACCAUGCUGGGCUACUCGCCGCCCAGCCGUGAGGUCCCCCCUCCACCCCGCGUCCGACGCAACGUCAUGCUCAUCCACGUCGACCGCGUUGAAGACUGGACGCCGCUGACGCCUCGCUCCUCGCACUCGGGCCAGAGCGGCAUCCCAUCCUCUGGGUCCGACGAUGAUCGCCCGUUCCCGCGGGUCUACCCGGGGACGUGGUCGAUGCACAUUGAGGAUGGCCAGGGGCAGGGGAGGCGCCAGCCCCCGUUGAUCGGCCCCUCUGGCUGUGGAGGGCUCCAGCUCGGGCCUCGCCGGGACCACGACGACAACAGCGGGCCACAGGGUGGCCGGCGCUCCUGGAAGGACACGCUCCUGGGUCGCGGCCGCGAGCAGCCGCCCCGAAGGAGCAACUGUGGCGCCGCUCGCCAGCGGAGCAGGACGCCGACCAGCAGGCGCCACGGCAAGGACACCCGCCACACGGGCAACAGCCUCAGAGCCACCCCGCCUCUGCCGCUGCUGUCGGACCAGGCCAAGGGCGCGGCCAACGGGCGGACAGCCACCCCCAUCGCAGCAGCGCCGGCCUCGGACCCUGUCGCCGACUUCUUCGACUCGACGGACCGCGCACCUGUCCAGCCCGUCCAAGCGGACUGCAGCCUCCUGGAGAUCGACCAGGCGAUCGCCUCAACGCUGGCUGCCCCGCUCGAGUUCGCCCCAGGGAACUCGACCGUGGCCUGCCGCACCACACCCACGGUGCUCUCCACUGAAGUUCAGCUCGCUGCAGUGACGCAGCAGGUCCAACAGCUGCAGCUCCCCGGCAACGACGGCAACGACGGGCAGCCUAGCCUCUUCACCAACACCCCGGCUCCCCUCGUGCGCCAACCCCCUGCUCGACGCACCUCGGCACCACCCAGGGCCCGUGCGGGGCCGACCAGGCAGAGUGCGCGGCAGGCGGGCAACACCUCAAGCGUGCCUGUUGCGCAGCGCGCCUCUCUGCUGCUGGUCAAGAAGCUCGGCCUGCUGGGGCCGAAGGAGGCCAUGACGGCCAAGGCGGCCGAAGCCCUCAUCAAACGCUUCGAUGAGCCACUGACUGACGACGACAUCUCCAUCAUCGCCAAACUGACCCGUCUCGACCCGGAGGCGCUGCGCAUCGCCGGGGGCAUGGCUGGCCCGGAUGCCGCUGCUGAAGCUAUAGUUUAG
rnacentral:rRNA from 1 species